CAGACAAUUUUUUGCGUUUUUACGUGUAUUCUUUGAAAAUAUUAAACAUGCCUAUUUUCAAAGAAUACACGUAAAAACGCAAAAAAUCCUCUGG
rnacentral:pre_miRNA from 1 species